ensembl:lncRNA
UUUGUUGCUGAAAGAAUCAGUUCCAACUGCGUCAAACACAUCAAGUCAGUCUCCCACCAUUUAGUCAGUUUUUUUUUUCCUGCAUGUUAAUCCAUGUAAAUCCAUUAAGAUGUUUUCAUCAUUUCAUAUUUUCCUAACUCUGUGUGUGGUAGGGCUAUGCUUGUGUUGGAGCUCGUGAAGGGUGGGGAGAAAACUCUCUAGAGAGAGCAACUGGGUCAGCAGCUCUCUUCUCUUAUUUUAUAUAUAUAUCAUGCUGUUGGACAUGUUUUGGACUAGUUGUCCUCGGUCACAUCCUGUCGUGAUGUGUUUUGCAGUGAGAAUGCCCCUUGAGCCAUCAGAGUAUUACUUCCUCUGGAGACCUCUCUUUCUGUGAGUAAAACAGUCACUAUUCCUCAAUUCAAUCCAUUUAAAACCCUGUUGCAAAAGAGAGAUAUGCUCAAACACAGCGUUUGUCUUGGGUGUACAAUGUUGUACAGUAAUACUAUCAAGUUCAUUUAUUUACUUUGCGAUAUAAUUAAUAUUUUGUGGUGUGGUUUAGGUCCUUACCACUGCUGAGAGCAUCACAACUCGUUUGGCUACAGAAAAGGCUUGCUGCUGGCUCUCCUCCAACAUCACAAGUAGUGAAGCCUAAUUUUAGUGAAGUUUUAAAAUGGCAAAUGCUUCAUUACUUAUUUUCUAGAAUGUUUUAAAAAAAAAAGUAAAAUAAGGAUCUGAAAUAUUCAUGUUUGAAUUUAUCCCUCAGCACUGCUGAAGAAGGAGUGGAACAGUGCGUUUGAGAGGGAGCUCUUCUGGAAAAGUUUCUAGUUCUGUGGGCUCGGACUCCCUCUCCACCUCUGCACCUUCUCCUCAGUGAACCCACUUUGACUGCUAUUUCUAGUGCCACACAUAGUGAGAGGUCUGACUACCUGUUCCUGAUAAGACAGCUAAUAGAGAGGGGUCUUUUAGGAUAGGAGGAAGUGGGCACCAACUGGCCAAAGUUGCCUGCAGUAUCUUGGCCAGAGGAGUCUGUAGAGAAGUUUCAGCAGCUCUCUCUGGCCACCCAGUUCCCAUUGCCUUCACUGCCAAACCACAGGGACAUACUGCAGGUCUCUCAAUGACCACUGAGGGGACGCACGAGUCUACAUUACCAACUGUACACAUGAAUCCCAGCCAAACACUAUUGUAUUAACAGCAACAAGUGAUGCAUAUUUGAACAAAAGAAUGAAUGUUUACUCCUACAAUAUAUAUGAUUUUAAAAAUAUUUUAAAGUCUUAUUUAUUGUUAGUUGCAAGGAGAAUAUUUGCUGCUUAAGAAUGCUAAAUUGAUAAGAUUGUUACUGACAGUUUAUAAACCUUUAAAUCACAUUUUGUGGGGACAUUUUAGCAGGGCUUUGCCAGUGUUCACUUAUACUGCCUCACAGUAGAACGGGAUAAAGAGCGUUCACUGUGCUAUUUAUUUGUUUUAAGUGUGUGUAAAUGUUUUUCUGUUUGUUUGUUGGUGAGUAUGUCU